UCCAUGAAGCUGGAUUCGCUAGUAAUCGCGCAUCAGCCACGGCGCGGUGAAUACGUUCCCGGGCCUUGUACACACCGCCCGUCAAGCCAUGGAAGCCGGGAGUGCCUGAAGUACGCGACCGCAAGGAGCGUCCUAAGGUAAAACCGGUGACUGGGGCUAAGUCGUAACAAGGUAGC
rnacentral:rRNA from 1 species